UUAAAUUGAAAUAAUGAGCAAUUAUCUGCAGGAUCGAUGGGUAUAAAGAGCAACAUCAUUUCAAUGAAUGAUAUUCAAAACAUAUAUACACAUAUCCAGAACUUCUAGCACUUCUUAACCAGCGAAAACUUUAGAAAGAUGUCUCCCUUGAAAAUGAUUGUCGCUCUCUUCGCGUUUUUCGCCGUUGUUGGGGUCGCUGUUUCCGAUGAGGGUCGUCCCGCUUCGUCCGCGUCGGCCUUUGGGGACAAUGUCGUCUUGUGGCAAUGUCAACACCCGUGCCAAAAUCUUCACUGUGAUGACCGGUACAGCCGAUGCGAGUUCAGAAAUGGACAGUGCUGGUGCUUCAACUAAGUUUUCGAUACAAUUUUGACGUAUGAGCGCUCAUCCUGGAAUAAUUAGUGUCUAAAUACAUAUGCAUUAACGGAAUUAUGAUUGGAAAUAUUAAUCUUUAAACUUAAAAGCAGAUUACAUACUUAUUAAAUUCUAGCUUUGACCGUCACAAGUUUGCAGAUUA